rnacentral:misc_RNA from 1 species
AGAGAGAGAGAGAGGGAUAAAAAAAAUAAAAACCCACACUUUCAGAUGAAAUUCGCAUAAAUUUUCUGUAGUGUCACGUCAAUUAACAUAUUACUAAGUCCAACCAAAUUUUAUACAGGACCUAUAGCAUUCAAAUUUUAUAAGGGUAUAUCUUAUAUUUCAUUUAGAUCUCUCGUGGUAAAAUUCAGCACAAUGGAAUGCAUCUGGAGGUUGAAGAAAAAGUAAUAUAUUGGCAGUAAGCAUUCAGAAGUGUAAAUUACGAAUCCACCACAACACAAAAUAACCCAACAUUAAACCUAGAACACCUUCACAUCAGCAGCUAAUGCAUAUGAUUCAAGCUCAAAAGUGGAGUGCAAAUUAAUAAUUCACUACAAUACAAAAUCAACUCUACCACCUAGAACAGCUUCACAUCAGCAGCCAAGAGAAAUGUUUCAACCUCAAAAGUGAUUUCCCAAAAUCAACCCUUUUAAAGAUGUUCAAAACCUAUUUUGAACCUAUCUCAGCUUUUUAUACUAGUAAUAUCUUCAACGGCACCUAAUAAAUAUCUUCACUUGGUCAAACUGUGUUAUCAAACAUCAUCUUCUCUAGGGAUAGAAGAUAAUUCAAUCAGCGAUGGAACAAAUAUGGGGAAAAAAAUUACUAAAGAAAGGACCAAAAAAAUAAG